rnacentral:rRNA from 1 species
AACGAACGCUGGCGGCAUGCCUAACACAUGCAAGUCGAACGAGACCUCCGGGUGUAGUUGCUCAUGGGGGCGGCGCGCGUGGGAAGCGGCCCGUAUGUUUGGAAUACCUCUCUGAAAGGGGUGCUAAUACCGGAUAAUGUCUGCGAACCAAAGAUUGAUCGCGCUUGGGUGGGCAGGCGUUGGAUUAGCUUGUUGGUAGGGUAAAAGCCUACCACGGCGACGAUCCAUAGCUGGGUAGAGAGCAUGGUAAGCCACACUGGGGCUGGGAAGCGGCCCGGAAUCCUCCGGAAGGGGGGAAUGGGGGAUAUUGCAAAACGGCCUGAGGGCUGAAGGAGCUAUGCCGGGUGAGUGAUGAUGGCCGUAGGGUAGUAAAGCUCUUUUACCCGGGAUGAUAAUGACGGUACCGGGAGAAUAAGCACCGGCUAACUCCGUG